rnacentral:rRNA from 1 species
CCUACGGGUGGCAGCAGUGAGGAAUAUUGGUCAAUGGCCGGAAGGCUGAACCAGCCAAGCCGCGUGAAGGACGAAGGUGCCAAGCAUUGUAAACUUCUUUUGUCAAGGGACAAAAUCAGGCUCGAGAGCCUGACCGCGGGUACUUGAAGAACAAGCAUCGGCUAACUCCGUGCCAGCAGCCGCGGUAAUACGGAGGAUGCGAGCGUUAUCCGGAUUUAUUGGGUUUAAAGGGUGCGUAGGCGGACUGUUAAGUCAGCGGUAAAAGCCCGGGGCUCAACCCCGGCGAGCCGUUGAAACUGGCUGUCUUGAGAUGUCGAGAGGUAUGCGGAAUGCGCAGUGUAGCGGUGAAAUGCUUAGAUAUUGCGCAGAACUCCGAUUGCGAAGGCAGCAUACCGGCGCCCAACUGACGCUGAAGCACGAAAGCGUGGGUAUCGAACAGGAUUAGAUACCCCAGUAGUC